AAGGACGACGCGGGGUGCCACGACCACCACGGCCGAGGCUGAGAUCACACCCGUCGAACCUGAUCUAGCUCGCACUAGCGAAGGGACGUCGCAUGACGCGCAC
rnacentral:ncRNA from 2 species